UAUAUAUAUAUAUAUAUGUGUGUGUGUGUAUAUAUAUAGCUAUAUACUAAAAUUUAUAUAUAUAUAUAUAUAUAUAUAUAUAAAUUUUAGUACAUAGCUGUCAUUAUUGUUCUAAAAAUUAUCUGGUUGUUUAUAACACUAACUCUAACUUGUAGAAGCCAGUGCACUGCCGAAGCAAAUUCCUCAGUUGAUCAUAAGUGUGUUUGUUGAAACAGAAUGUAUGAGAAAUUUUCUUCUGUCAGUAAAUUAGAGAGAGGUUGCCAGAACGAUUUAUAUACAUAGGCAGUUUUCAACAGCCCUAACACUGUAGUUUUCCUAGCAUUAAAUUUUAACUGAAUGUAGGAGUCACUCGAAAAUAGCAAAUUCAUUCUUUCUCAGAAAGUAGAUCAUAACUGCAAUAAGUAGGGUAGUACUAGUUAAAAUUUUUAUUUUUCUCAGAAUGUUUUUACUGUAUUGGUUAUAAAUAAUCCAAUCCUAUGCUGUUUUGAAUUUGGGAAAUUUAUGCUACUGACAGAAUCGGAAAGUCUGAUGAAUAGCAGCAUUCCCCCAUUGCUUUGGAUGAUUUCUCCCCCUUUUUUACUCUUAUCAACAGUUGUUUCACGGUGUCUCCAAAAAUAUCGUUAUUUGUGAGAGUCUGUAUGAAAGUAAUUGUUCCACAAAUAAUUUAAGGACGUAAUUAAGAUAAAAGAAGGCAUUAUAAUAAAGAAACCUUGAAAUAAAAUAUAAAUUGUGUGUGCGGGUGUCAUCUCAGUACUUUCCCCAGUAUUCCUUAUAUUUUAAAUGUAGCAAGUAACAACAUACUUUCAAAGUUGCUUCCUUUGGCUAAUUAAGAUACAGUUAAGAUAUUUAAACUUAUUUUUCAUUUUAUAAUUUUACUUCAUUUUUAAAUAUGUUAUUUUUCAAAUAACUUAAGAUGUGUAUUUGAAAUUUUAUUUAAUAAAUCUUAAGGCAAUAAUCCAUAUGUACUUUUAAACUUUUCAUAGUAUUCAUAUUUUGUACUCCUAUUGUGUUAACAUUUUAAAUUAAAUUUCCAUUUUUCUCCAUUGUUUGUAUUUUCUUUCACUUCAUGUUUCCGAUAAAUUUCAAAGAAACUUUGUUACCUGCAAAUAUGCUUUAGCUGGCACGAAUUCAGUUGAUUAUAACCCUAGAAGAUGUAAAAGCAAGUGGCCACAUACUUUUGUAUUUACAGCAUGUUAAUUGACAGAAACGUUUUUUUCAGCUAUAAACAAAAUUAUGCGUCUUCCAGAAGUAUAGUGUAACGAAAUCAUGCCCACUAAAACAUAGUCAUGGGUUCAAAGGGUUAAACCUCAUUGUUUCAGGUUUUAUUCAUGUAUUUAUAGUUGUGUGGUUGUGAUUGUUAGAGACUCUUAUGAAAUUUUUUCCUGAGAAAUAUAAAAGAUUAUAUAUUUUUGUUUUUAAUCUAAAAAGAAAAAUAAUGCAGAUAGGGGAAAUUCUAUUUCUGAAACAAAAUAUGAUUCAUGACUGGAGAAUCAGUUCUCUCCGAAUCUGAAAUUCUAAUUUAUGUCUUUUUAUAAUUGCAGUCAAAGCUACAAAAAAAAAAAAAAAAGUAACGUUUUAAAGACCAUUUCUUUUGGAAAAAAUAAGGGUUUUCAAGCAAUCAAAUAUAUUGUCUGUGAAUGCAAGCAGUCCAAAGGAGAAAUUGUGUAUGUUAUGUCAACUGCUUAUAUUUGCACACACACACACGUGUGUGAAGUGCUGCAAAUAAACUGAUCAAUUCGGUCUCUUUAAAAACAGUGUUUAUGAUUUAAUCUCUAUUCUUUUGCUGGUUUUGGUCAUUGAACUAUGGUCAUUCUGAGGCAUCACUCCAAUUUCUUUAAAACUUUUAAUUAAAAUUAAUCAUUUGAGUUUUAAGUCUUCUAAUGUAUAAAAUUGGUUUCUAUAGAAAAGCUCCCAAAUGUAUCAUAAUGAUAUUGUAGGAACAUUUGAAUUAAGCUUUACUUAAACAGUAAAUAAUACCUCACAUUAAAGCUUUUGGUAGUAUCAAGUGUUGGGAGUCUACCUCAGUUUUAUGUUACAUUUAGUAAUGAAUGUAGUUCACUCCUAGCUAAUUGAAGGUAACAAUCUAUCUUCAUAAAUUCAUCCUUCCAUAUCCCUUAAAGUCUUUCAUCCAAUAAACAGUUUAGUGGUUAAUAAAUAAGCAGCUGUGCUGGUAACCUAAUACAUAGGAAUGAUUCUCUAUCUGGAAACUCCACAGUGACAAGACUUUCAUGCAUCUACCUCCUUAACUAUAAUCCAAGUGGUUCUUGAAGCUAAGCUAUUAUAACUUACUUUUAACUAACUUCUCUCUCAUGCACAACAAACCUAUAGUCCUCUCUCUAUACUAUCUUGUACAUAUAUCCACUAGGGAUGGGAAUUUCUGUGAGUGAAGACUGAUUGUCCUUGUUAUCUCUACAGCUAUGAUAUAUCACUGACUAUCAAUUAUCCAUGUUUAGUUUUCACUUUCAAUUUUCCCAAGAAUAAAAAUGAUAAUGAAUGAUCUUAUGAUCUGCUGUCUCUCUUAUCAGAGACCAGUAACUUUUGCAGAGUAAAGUCAAAUCAAAUGAGACUACUUAAUUCACAUACCAAAGGUCUCUUGUUUUGAAAACUUGGGUGAAAAUAGGUUCGUAAUCUUGUCAUCAGCAAAAGUCUUAACUGAUAUCUAACAACAAUUCCUGCUAAGAGGUUUUACCACAUGUCUGAUAACAUGAAUUAGAAGCUUUCUCAAUUUCAGUUUACUUCAAGGAUGUGUAGUCUCUGUCAGGGCAUGCUUCUGUGAAAUUAUGUUAUACUAUCCUCUUCUACAUGACUCAAAUGUCAUGUAGCCUCAGUUCUUGGCACAUUGGUCUUAACCAAAUUUCUGAUUGUGCAACUCAAAAUAUAAUCAUGCUAUUGAUUUCUUGAAUAUCCAUCACUUACCCUGUAAAUACUUUAGCCUUUUUUAAAGUUUACUACAGCUAUUUGACCAUUGCUAAGAUAUAUCCUUUCCUGUUUGUAAACCACUUCCACCUAAACUAAUUUGUUUUACAUACCUCUACCUUCAUUCAAUCCUAACCCAGUCAGUAUUCUUCAGAACUGCAUUUUCCUGAAACUCCCCUCCCAACAUCUGAUUUUAAAUAUUAACUGUUAUUUCCCUUGCUCUUAGAUAAGAAUUUGGUGCAUAUGCUCUGACACCAACCUAUUUCAUUAACCUCUUUUGUUUGGACUACAUUUAUUCAUAUGACUAGGAAUUUUUCAUUUGCUUUUUACUCAAAAAUUGAACAAUACAUGGUAUAAACUCUAAACUUCAUACUUCAUCCAAACUGCUUUUUUCAUUACAUCUAAUUAUAUACACAUUGACUAUACAUUCAUCAUCAUCAUCAUCGCCAUCAAGUGAUUUUCAAUCUUUUUUAGACUGUUUGUAUAAAUAACCACAGAACCCUGUUAUCCUUAUUCCUAAAUUACCAUCUGCUUCACAUUCUUUUAAUCAAAAUUUCCUCUCAGAAAAUUUAGGCCUUAAUUAUUGUUUUUGUAUAGCUCUUACCCUAUGACACUUCACUGUUUUUUUGGAACUUGUGAAUGCAUGCUUUCCAAAAAUGGUGUGUUAUUGGCAAUAAUUUCACAGUCUACAUACUGAGCAAAGUAAGCCUUACUAAUUUUGCUCUGUGAAGGUUUCUGUCACUUUGUUAUGUUCCCCACAACCCCUUUUGAUUUCAGAUUCUGUUUCCAGUUUUCAUGCUGCAGUACUUCCCAUUGAUUCAGCACUGACAACUAGGCCAUACUUAAGUUGGACUCUGCCAUAAGGGCCUGGAGAAGCAGUAUGAAAAGUAGAAGAUACCUUUUUGUACCUCAGAUUUUUCACUGUACGUAUUAACUCUGACCUGAUUUCUCAGAAUUAACUAAUGGCUUUUGCACAAUAUUUGCCCAUGUCUUGCAUCUAGACUUCUGUUCAAUACUAAGCAGAAAAUGUUUGAAACACUCUAAGAGUGAUUGUAGACUUGUGACAGUAAACUAGUUCUAAUUGAUGUUCAUCAGAUUUAGUUAUACCAAUGAAGCUACUAAGUCAUUUAGCCAGUACUUGUGGGCAAAUUAUAUUUCUAAUCCAUGCAGAAUACAUAAUAUAUGCCUUGACUACUUGUAGGUAAGCUAGCCUCAAUAAUAUCAUUUUGUAAUCUUAAACCAAUUUCUUAGUCACUCAUCAUAUUUUAUUAUAUAUUUUUGGUUCUUCUUCCUCUUUAUGGUAACCAAAUAUUUCUUAAUUUUUUUCUUCAUAUUCUUGCACAAUUUGGAAACUGUUACCAAUCUAACUUUUAAGUUACUGCAAACAGAAUGUUCAACAUUCAAGACUGAGAAAAGAUUUGCUUUACUAUUUGGUAUCCAGUUGUUCUCUUUCACUGGUCGCUGUACAUUUAGCAUACUGAGUAGUAGCCUUUUGUCAUUACAACUAUUGUGCUAACAACUUCACUAUCGGCAUCAAUUUAACAUCCAGUUUUCCAUGUUUGCAUGGGUCAGACAUAAUUUAUUGAGGAUACCCUUCCAGACACUAACCCUCAUCUGUUUCCAAGCAAGUUAUUUCCUUGUGGUAUGACACUUGUAUGAUGAUGAUACUCAUUGACAACUAUCGUGAUAUCAAGACAAGGGUACACAUAUAUACAUACAUGUUAUUUCAAGUAGUAAAAAUAUUAUGAACAUCUUUUUAUAAUCAAUUUUCUACUGUUGAUUCAGUUGGUCAGAUAUAAUUCUUAAUAGACAUUUUUUCUCAAUGGUUUUGUGUUUUUUUAGUGGCCUUCACAUAGGCACUGUUGAAGAUCAUGGAAAAUAGACAUAAAAUAUAAAUUGGUGAAACGAUGUUCAAUAGAGUAAUCUUUUCAUAAUUCAAAAAAGUGUUCUAUGAAGGUGUUAAAAGUCUGAAAAUCUUGAAUAUCAAUGCAUAUAGAUUAAUUACUAAAAAUUUUUUUUUUGUUA
rnacentral:lncRNA from 1 species